GGGGGAACCGGCGAACAGGAUCGAUCGGCAACACUCGUCGUGAUAUUAGUUACAGCCGUGAAGGCGGAAGACGCCAUUGUUACCUGUUUACGGCAGUGCUAUCUGUUUGCAUUAAAUUUGGUGUUUAUAAUAACGACAACAUUCCGAUUUCCGGCAGCAUUUUGGCGGUAUUUAAUCGGUAUUUUCACUCAGAUGUUAAAAUUUCUGAGAGAAGCAUUCUGUUUACUACGGCAUAGAUAAAACUUAUAGACAUACACACGCAUAUGUUAUCGAGCGGUCAGCACGUUUGCCAGAAUGACGAAAGUCUUGGAGCGAAAAGAUGAAGAGCGUACCAGGGAAAUUGAUAAAAACCACCGUGCAGGUAGGAACGAAAACGGUAUCAACGUGUCCAACCGGACACAUAAAAAAGGUGGACGUUCCCGGUAAAGUGCUGCAUAUCCAAACCAGGAAACACAAAGGAACGCUCACGACCAGAAUGGAGGAGCGCUAGCUUGUCAGCGUCAAGGAUUUAUGAUUCCUUCGCAGCAAACUCCACACCAGCGUCGCCACAACAAUAAUCAGGUGACGUUGGCAUCGCUCCCCGCAUGCCGCCCAAAAUAACCUCGCCGCUCUGCCACGGUGUCGCGGAAUUGACCGUCCCGAUUCAUCAACACCCUGGAUGUCAUCAUCACAAAUUGGCUCCCCGUCCCGGUGUUAGUUUUCAAGUGUGAGCUGGAUGGAAAUUAAAUGGGGGGGGGGGGUGCAUGUGUGUGUGUGUGUGGGCACUAACAGGGUCACACAGUUGACGUCUAAAUUUCUGCACAAAUAUUGAUGCAGUCAAAAUAUGCACCUCAUAUAUGUUUGAGGAUUCCUCAACAGGUGCUGCAGCAUGCAGUAACAUGAGCUGGGCUGGGAGGCAGAGUUAAAAUAAUAAUGAUAAAAAGAAACAAACAAAUGGAGCAAAUGGGGAAUGAUCCCAGCUUUCUCUGGAAAGUGUUCAGAGAAAGUUUGCAUAAAACACCAAAGCCGCCCCCCCCCC